rnacentral:lncRNA from 1 species
GAGUUUAUGCUGGCUUCAGACAAGCAAGCAAGGAAAAGGGCAAAUCCUUCCUCCCUCCCUUAAAAUACACAGUAUCGGAACCCGCGGGAAGCCGGAGCCCAUUUCAAAGAUUAUGUGAUUUGGUGCCUGGAAGUCAUUACUGGAAAUUUGGCUCUAAGUGAGCUGGCAGUAUCCAGGAAAAUGAUCUUGGGUAUACAGGUAAAUAGAAAUUAUAGCUCUUCAGUGACAGCAAGAGUCAUCAUGAUUUUUUUUUUAGAGUUGUUGAUGACUCAAAUACCACCGAAACAGCUGGAAAUGGCAGCACCUGAAAUGGAAAAAACAAGAGCUGAAAGUUUAUUUUGAAUGAGAGGCAUUGUCCAACUCUGAGACUGAAUGAUGGCAGCUGAGAGUAAGUGCAAGCACAAUCAAUAAUGACUCCAGGUAUGAAAUUAUUCAGAAUCUCUCUUGUUUUCCAUGUUUUUCUCCUGCUACAUUCACAAUGUAUCUGUUCACCGCAAUACUAUCUGUGGAGGAGGAAAAAAUUUCCUCAGUUUAGUUGUUCUUAAUGAUAGCUUUUGAGCUGUCCUGAUUUGAAAUUACAGUGAUAGAAGGGGCUGUUUCACAUAAAAGAAACAAUGUAUUCCAAAGCCAAAUUGUAUAUUGGGCAGGUAAGAAAGCUUCAUCAUUAAAUUGUCUUUAAUAUGCUUCGCUUUUACCUUCUGCCUUAAAUUUUCAUAUUAGCCACUUUCUCUUUUCUGUGCUGUGUAGCUUUGGGCAAGGUUAUUUCAUUGAUCCUGGUCCUUUCCAAUGUUAAUAUUUUAUUGAUAUAGACCAUAGGAACUGCUCUUAAAUUUGUGUUGAACAACCUAAAAUUGCAGCAUUUUAUAUUUGAAUACCACAUCAAGAGUUUGCAAGGUACUUUAACAUCAUAUUUAAUUAAACUUCACUGCAAUACAAUAUGUUGUCCAGAAUAUGUAUUUUUUAAGCCUCCUUCUUUAAUAGUCAUACUUCAUGUGUCAUACGUAUAUAUCACAGACACAUCACUAUAAGCAACAUGCCCCAACUUAUGCUUUGUGUUUUGUUUUAGGAUUUCCUUUUCAAUAUAACUUUUUUUAAAAUUUUUUUUAUUUUUAGGGCUGCAGCUAUGGCAUAUGGAAGUUCCCAGGCUAGGGGUUGAAUUGGAGCUGCAGCUGCCAGCCUAUAUCACAGCCACACCAAUGUCAAAUUCAAGCCAAGAUCCUUAACCCACUGAGCAAGGCCAAGGAUCUAACCCACCUUCUCAUGGAUACUAGUUGGCUUCAUAACCUGGUGAGCCACAACAGGAACUCCUUUUAUCAAUACGAUUUUAAAAAAAAAUAAAAACCUUCCUCCUACUUAUAUUACAAAAAAUAAGACCACUUAGUGAUGCAGAAAUCUUUCUCUCUUUCUUUCUUUCUUUCUUUCUUUCUUUCUUUCUUUCUUUCUUUCUUUCUUUCUUUCUUUCUUUCUUUCUUUUUGAUUUCUAUAAUGAUGUAAAGCACUGAUUGGGCCAGUUAUCACAUGGAAUAUGAAUAUGAAUAAGAUGAAAUUCUUGACUUCAAUGAAAUUAAAGUCUUUUGUUUUCCUUACCAAAUCCUUCUUUGCCAGCACUCUCACUCAACAAUUUCAGUUUAAAAAAAAAAAAAAAAGGCACUUAUUUUAAAACCUGGGGAGGCAAGCUGGAGCCAGGACAGACUUUAUACUUGUUGGAACUGUUCUGACCAUGCUUAGAUGUACAACAUUCUUUUUCAUUUGGUUGCCUUUAUAAUGCAAAGGGCAGAGGCAAAUGAUUCAGAGCACAAUCGGCGCCAUCCAGAGUAUUGAAACACUCCUCUUAAUGACAAUGCCAAGUUACUCUGUUCGUGAAACACUUGAAAAAUGAGAACAGCGAGCCUUCAAGAGAGAACAGAGUUGGCUCCAAUGCUUUCAUUAUCAAAAGAAGAUGUUAAAAUGCAUAGAAAUGUUAAAUCUCUACUAAAAAAA